CUCUACGUGCCUGGCGGCGGCGCCACCGCGCGCCUUCCUCAGCCGCUGUUAACCCCGGGGUCUAGAGAAGCACUGAGAGGACUCCUCAGCCUGGCGCUGUGCACAAUUAAAAUAGCAGAGUUCCCAUCUCCAAGGAAUUUGCAACCAUAGACAGCACAGUGAAGACAGGUGUUAACUUGAAGGCAGCGCACAAACGGGAGGCAAUUGAAGUUGUCACCUACUGUACAACACAGUGGCCCUUGUAUGAAGAUCCAAGACACAUAUGGAAAUUAAAGAUUUAAUUAUCACUCCUUUGGAGGAUUUGUUGGCCAUCAGCAACUUGGGCUUAACUUGGGUCCAAUUUUAUAAUUUUAGUAAAUUAUAAUAAUAUUUAUGAUAUCUAUAACUAUAUACUAGUGCUUGGUCUUAUUGUUCAGAUAUAGCUAUAGUUUUUCUUGUUUAAUUUUUAUGUGUUUAUUUUUUAUUUUGUUGAAUUAAUUUUGUCUUUCAUCGGUAUUUGUUAGUUCCUCAUUUUUUUGUGUCUUUCUGUGUAUGUAAAUAGGUAAUUCCUCUAAAUAACAUUUCUUUUGUUAUCAACAUUCUGUCAGUGCUAGUUUACUCUUUGUAUUAAUUCCCAACAAAUUUUUCAGUUUAAUACUCAGGGUAAUAUUUUUAACAUAUUAAAAAGAAUUAAGGAGGAAGAGAAAUUGGAAGUAUGUAAAGAUGGGAAAGCUUAAUAGUUGUAGCUAUUUGGGAAGACAGUGAUGUGAAGGAAAUAAUUAUUACCUACUUACAUAAAAUUCAGUAUUCCUUAUAGUUUUAAAGAGCUAGUCUUUUAAGAAACAAUUGCUAUUUUUUAAAAAAAUAAAAAUAUUAUACAUCCCCAAAGAGAAAA
ensembl:lncRNA novel transcript